rnacentral:lncRNA from 1 species
CAGGAGCAGAGAAACUGAGUUCAUGCAAAAAUGAGAGCACACAGCAGAACUGGUUAUAGUAGCAUGCUGAAAUAAAGAUUGUCAAGCCUCGUCUCACCCCAGAUCACAUCCGAGUGAGCUGACCCUUACAGCAGAAACAAACCGGGUACGUGACAGGAGGUGAAGCUCGCGUUGUAAGCGAUGUCCCUGGAGAUUGUGCACCACCGGGGAGAGGGCCGAGUCCGGCACGUGGAGCUCCCUCAAGCAAAGUGAGCAUCAGCACGGGCAGUUUGCUGCGGAGAGCUGCAUGGAAUCUGAGCAGCGAUGGAACUCAGGACAUCACUCGACCUUUCGGGCCGUCAACUGCAGCAGAAAUGUAAGCAACUGAAAAUAAAGGAUGG